CUAAGUCUUCAACCGAUUAGAGGAGGCUACUCGCUUUGUAUGUGCCCAGAGUAGGAAAGGGCUGGGCAGCAGCUCCAGGCCAUUCAUGAACAGCCCUGCCUCUUAGGCAUGUGUGCCAGCGGGCCCCGUGGUGCUGGUGGAAUCCAUGCUGGGAAAGAACCAUAAUUAUCGUGAGCCCCGGGGUUCUGGAGCAAGGCAUGCCAGCCCCGCAGAGGGUUCUAUGCCACUCAAAAGGCAGAUCCUGGUCUACAAGACCGGGCUUUUGUACAGGCUGAGUGAUGAUCAAAGGAAAUCAACGGACCACAUGGCGGGUACUGCCAUCAAGAGCUGGGUGGAGUCGGACCCACGAAGUCAAGGAUGCAGACCCAACAGCCAGCCUUCAUGAAAUGGGAACGGUAGGUCCAGGGUCAGGGACGGGUCGUCCAUAGUGUGAGGGAGUUCAUGAACCGGUGGCACAGCCCCCAUGUUGCCCCCCAGCUCUGAUGCUUCCUCCUUGGCUCAUACCUAUAGCCUGGGAGGAAGGUGUUCCCUAUGACCAGCUGGUGGAGGAAGAAAAAAUCCCAGCCUGGCUCCCAGGUAAGUCAGUUCAGUGUGCAGUUAUGGGACCAGAAUGGACUGCCACUGCCCUUCCAGCCAAAUCUGGGGUGGCCCUGGGGAUAGUGGUCCCAAUGGGCAGUGUUUGUACACCUGAGAACGAUGCACAGAAACUCGUGGACAGUGGCAAGUGGCUUAGCAACCCAUGUAGCAAGAUUGGUGGCAGGGACAUGCAGAUGGACCAUGUAGCAAGAUUGGUGGCAGGGGCAUGCAGAUGGACCUGUGGGACGGGGCCAGCUUUGUUCUGGACCCUCCAGAGCUCAGGACCAUGAUGUAGGGGGAGAUGAUGGUGACAAGAAGGCCAGCAUCCUUCCUCCCAGGCUCCAUGGCAAAGCAGACCCUGCCUCCGCCACCCUAAUUCUCAAUCAAGGACUCUGCCUGGAUUAAUUAAUUGGUCAUCUUCUCAAUUCAAUCUGUGCGACACAGAAGCCAUUGGCCACAUGGUGUUCAGGAACAGACCUGGGUUCAGAUUCUAUCUCCACCUCCUGUGUGGCUGUGGAGGGUAGUGAAGCCUUGGUCUCCCCUCCUUCUUGGAUGCCUCCCUGAUAUGCCAAGCUUGCCACCCUAAGAGCUACUCUUCCCGGCUGCCUUUGCUGCUAGGGCCCUGUAUGUAGAAUAGGUCCUGC
rnacentral:lncRNA from 10 species